GGAAGCGGUGGGCUGCAAAGCGGAGCGGUGCUGGCAUCAUGUCGGGCCGAGAGGGCGGCAAGAAGAAGCCGCUGAAGCAGCCGAAGAAGCAGACGAAGGACCUGGAUGAGACAGAUCUGGCAUUUAAACAAAAGCAGAAGGAGGAGCAAAAGAAACUUGAGGAGAUGAAAGCAAAGGCUGCUGGAAAAGGGCCCCUCGCGAGCGGCGGAAUAAAGAAGUCUGGCAAAAAGUAGCUCCGAGCUGCAGGAUAAGACGCGUUCAGCUUACACGGCGGAUCUGCAGCCUUCGGAACAUGAGGAGAAGUCGCUAGCACUUGGAGAGCAUUGUACAUUUUGUUUAGUCAGAAUAAAACUUUUUGUUAACAGGUGA